CGGUAUCGUACGAAUAAGCAUCGGCUAACUCCGUGCCAGCAGCCGCGGUAAUACGGAGGAUGCAAGCGUUAUCCGGAUUUAUUGGGUUUAAAGGGUGCGUAGGCGGGAUAUUAAGUCAGUGGUGAAAUCCUGCAGCUUAACUGUAGAACUGCCAUUGAUACUGAUAUUCUUGAGUAUAGUUGAAGUGGGCGGAAUGUGUAAUGUAGCGGUGAAAUGCUUAGAUAUUACACAGAACACCGAUUGCGUAGGCAGCUCGCUAAACUAAUACUGACGCUGAGGCACGAAAGCGUGGGGAGCGAACAGGAUUAGAUACCCUGGUAGUCCACGCUGUAAACUAUGAUCACUCGUUGUUGGCAAUACACAGUCAGCGACUGAGCGAAAGCAUUAAGUGAUCCACCUGGGGAGUACGGCCGCAAGGUUGAAACUCAAAGGAAUUGACGGGGGCCCGCACAAGCGGAGGAACAUGUGGUUUAAUUCGAUGAUACGCGAGGAACCUUACCUGGGCUUAAAUGCAGAACGACGUCCGCCGAAAGGCAGAUUCCCUUCGGGGCGGACUGCAAGGUGCUGCAUGGUUGUCGUCAGCUCGUGCCGUGAGGUGUCGGGUUAAGUCCCAUAACGAGCGCAACCCUUAUUGUUAGUUGCCAGCGGGUAAUGCCGGGGACUCUAACGAAACUGCCGGUGUAAACCGAGAGGAAGGUGGGGAUGACGUCAAAUCAGCACGGCCCUUACGUCCAGGGCUACACACGUGUUACAAUGGCCGGUACAAAGGGCAGCUACCUGGUAACAGGAUGCUAAUCUCGAAAGCCGGUCUCAGUUCGGAUUGAAGUCUGCAACUCGACCUCAUGAAGUUGGAUUCG
rnacentral:rRNA from 1 species